UACGUAGGGGGCGAGCGUUGUCCGGAUUUAUUGGGCGUAAAGAGCGUGUAGGCGGCCAGGUAGGUCUGCUGUGAAAACUCGAGGCUCAACCUCGAGACGCCGAUGGAAACCGUCUGGCUAGAGUCCGGAAGAGGAGAGUGGAAUCCUGGUGUAGCGGUGAAAUGCGCAGAUAUCAGGAGGAACACCGGUGGCGAAGGCGGCAUCCUGGACCGGCAUUGACGCUGAUGAGCGAAAGCUAGGGGAGCAAACGGG
rnacentral:rRNA from 1 species